rnacentral:rRNA from 1 species
UUUGAUCCUGGCUCAAAACGAACGCUGGCGGCAUGCCUCCCACAUGCAAGUCAAACGAAGGCUUCGGCCUUAGGGGCGCACGGGUGAGUAACGCGGGGGACCCUGCCCUUUGGUUCGAAAUAACUCCGGGAAACUGGAGCUAAUACCGGAUGAGCCCUGGGGUUGUGGAAAUCACCGGGAAAAGAUUUAUCGCCAAAGGAGGGGCCCGCGUCCAAUUAGGUAGUUGGUGAGGUAACGGCUCACCAAGCCAACAAUCGGUAGCUGGUCUGAAAGGAUGAUCAGCCACACGGGGACUGAAACACGGCCCAAACUCCUACGGGAGGCAGCAGUGGGGAAUAUUGAACAAUGGGGGCAACCCUGAUCCAGCAAUGCCGCGUGAGUGAUGAAGGCCUUAGGGUUGUAAAGCUCUUUCGCACGUGACGAUGAUGACGGUAACGUGAAAAAAACCCCCGGCUAACUUCGUGCCA